AGAGUUUGAUCCUGGCUCAGGACGAACGCUGGCGGCGUGCUUAACACAUGCAAGUCGAACGGAAAGGCCCUGCUUGCAGGGUACUCGAGUGGCGAACGGGUGAGUAACACGUGGGUGAUCUGCCCUGCACUUCGGGAUAAGCCUGGGAAACUGGGUCUAAUACCGGAUAGGAGCCAUUUUUAGUGUGAUGGUUGGAAAGUUUUUUCGGUGUAGGAUGAGCUCGCGGCCUAUCAGCUUGUUGGUGGGGUAAUGGCCUACCAAGGCGGCGACGGGUAGCCGGCCUGAGAGGGUGGACGGCCACAUUGGGACUGAGAUACGGCCCAGACUCCUACGGGAGGCAGCAGUGGGGAAUAUUGCACAAUGGGCGCAAGCCUGAUGCAGCGACGCCGCGUGGGGGAUGACGGCCUUCGGGUUGUAAACUCCUUUCGCUAGGGACGAAGCUUUUUGUGACGGUACCUAGAUAAGAAGCACCGGCUAACUACGUGCCAGCAGCCGCGGUAAUACGUAGGGUGCGAGCGUUGUCCGGAAUUACUGGGCGUAAAGGGCUCGUAGGUGGUUUGUCGCGUCGUCUGUGAAAUUCCGGGGCUUAACUCCGGGCGUGCAGGCGAUACGGGCAUAACUUGAGUACUGUAGGGGUAACUGGAAUUCCUGGUGUAGCGGUGAAAUGCGCGAUAUCAGGAGGAACACCGAUGGCGAAGGCAGGUUACUGGGCAGUUACUGACGCUGAGGAGCGAAAGCAUGGGUAGCGAACAGGAUUAGAUACCCUAGUAGUCC
rnacentral:rRNA from 1 species